rnacentral:tRNA from 1 species
UCCCCUGUAGCUCAGUGGUAGAGCAAUCGGCUGUUAACCGAUGGGUCGCUGGUUCGAAUCCAGCCGGGGGAGCCA